rnacentral:sRNA from 1 species
CAUCUGGGUUACCUCCAGGCAUUGGUGGUGCUUCAACAAUGAUGAGUCGAUCUAGUCGUUAUUCUAAAGAUAUUUUUGAAGACGAGCCUUUAAGUCCAUCAACCCCUGCUGCUGCUG